rnacentral:tRNA from 1 species
GGAGGUAUGGCUGAGUGGAUUAAGGCAUUGGUUUGCUAAAUUGACAUAUAAUAAGAUUGUAUCAUAGGUUUGAAUCCCAUUUCCUCUG